GUGCCAGCAGCCGCGGUAAUACGAACCGUCCUAACGUUAUUCGGAAUCACUGGGCUUAAAGGGUGCGUAGGCGGCUCAGAAAGUUGGGUGUGAAAUCCCUCGGCUUAACCGAGGAAUUGCGCUCAAAACUACUGAGCUUGAGGGAGACAGAGGUGAGCGGAACUUAGGGUGGAGCGGUGAAAUGCGUUGAUAUCCUAAGGAACACCGGUGGCGAAAGCGGCUCACUGGGUCUUUUCUGACGCUGAGGCACGAAAGCCAGGGGAGCGAAGAGGAUUAGAUACCCUCGUAGUCCUGGCCGUAAACGAUGAGCACUAGGUCGAAGAUCUCUCCAUAGGUUUUUGGCCGUAGCGAAAGUGUUAAGUGCUCCGCCUGGGGAGUAUGGUCGCAAGGCUGAA
rnacentral:rRNA from 1 species